GUGUGAGUGGUGAUUGGAUGGCAUGGGUUGGCAGGCUCCUUGCUUUGUGCGUUGAACUGUUGGCGCUCCGUCCGCUUCAAUCUUUUUUCCCCAAGCGAUUUUCUUGGCUUGUGGGUUCGUUUGGUAUCCUGUGUUGCUUACCCACGUAUGGGAAUUGAUCGGUUUUGGUGCUCUCAUCUGCCCAGUGCCUUUUGGGGUGCGGGGUAGACGCGAGGCGGGCUUCAUGUUCCCGGCGUGCUUCGUGCGAAGUUGCGUGGCCGUCUUGGCCCGUGGAGUCUCUGCUCGUGCUCUCGGAUGCGGAAUGUUUCUGCGUGGGUGUGGGGCCUCGGCCUUGAUCCGCUUAAGCUUUACGCAUUUGUCCUUUGACACGGAUGACGGCCGCUCCCGUGUCGAUCCCUCCAUAUGGGUCGUGCGGGUGUCGGCGUCUCCAAGGAAUGC
rnacentral:misc_RNA from 1 species